rnacentral:rRNA from 1 species
UACAUGGGGUGCAAACGUUGCUCGGAAUUAUUGGGCGUAAAGCGCACGUAGGCGGUCCGUUAAGUCGGAUGUGAAAGCCCCCGGCUCAACCGGGGAAGUGCAUCCGAAACUGGCGGGCUAGAGUACGAAAGAGGGUCGCGGAAUUCCCGGUGUAGAGGUGAAAUUCGUAGAUAUCGGGAGGAACACCGGUGGCGAAGGCGGCGACCUGGGUCGAUACUGACGCUGAGGCACGAAAGCGUGGGGAGCAAACAGG